ACAAUCCUGAUGUGUUAGUCUUUUACUGUAUGUUUUGACCGAACACCAGUAAAUACGGGAGCUUGCGUUUCAAAGUGGCGUACAUGCCUCCAUGAGGAAGUAUAAUACUUUGAACAGGGCACCCACCUGCGAAGAGCGGGAUCAAAACUUCGAGGACGGACGGCACGAUUGGGAUUGAU
rnacentral:other from 1 species